CAGCCGCCGCGGUAAUACGUAGGUCCCGAGCGUUGUCCGGAUUUAUUGGGCGUAAAGGGAGCGCAGGCGGUUUAGUAAGUCUGAAGUUAAAGGCAUUGGUUCAACCAAUGUAUGCUUUGGAAACUGUUAGACUUGAGUGCAGAAGGGGAGAGUGGAAUUCCAUGUGUAGCGGUGAAAUGCGUAGAUAUAUGGAGGAACACCGGUGGCGAAAGCGGCUCUCUGGUCUGUCACUGACGCUGAGGCUCGAAAGCGUGGGUAGCGAACAGGAUUAGAUACCCGAGUAGUCCCUGUCUCUUAUACA
rnacentral:rRNA from 1 species